AUGAAAUUCAAAUGAAUUAUGUUUUUAACAACCGAAUCUAAAAGAAAUAAAAUACAUCUUACUUAACAAAUUAAAACCUUUUCUUUUGCAGAUUCCGACGACGACGAAGCACCCGAGGACCAACGACAAUGGAAUGAUGCGGACGAAGCCUAACUGAUGGAUCCCACAGGUGAUGCUGUCCCGACGACGGAGAAAAAAAAAGAAAGAUAACCUAACGUUUUUUUUAUUUUCAGUUUUUAAGUUCAAAUCAUGUUUUAGACAUAGAGCCCAACAUAAUUUGAGUCCAAACAUUUUAAACCCACAAUUACUUUUUCAUAAUGUAAAAACGUCAACCUUCGUUUAUGUUUUGUUAAACUAUUUUAAUCUUUAUGUUUUGUUAAACUAUUUCACACAGGGGGCAGAUCUCCUUAGAAGGGGAGCCACUCGCCACGAUGCUUCCAGUUUCACCAUUCUUGAAACUCUUAUGAACCACAAAGCCAAUAUAAGAGCUCUGUUUCAAUCUAACGGCUGGAUUUUGUCACAGACCACCGCUAAGCCUGAAGAGGGAAGAGAAGUGGAGUGCUGCGUUUUGGAAGAUGGAACCCGUGACGAGGAAGACGAGGAGAAGUGUUACUUGGAAUAUCCUAACGUUGAGGAUGUAGACAAUGUGUGAUCUUAGAGAUGAAGAUUAGUGUAGCUUUAAUAUAUGCUACUACGGUCCUUGAGCUCCCUAACAAGUACUAGCAAACAAUGUGUAUUUUGAAAAAAUAAAAUAAUUUUGUAAUGCAAGUAGUUUGAAACUUUGAGUAUUUAUUCAAACAAUGGAUAUAUACAGAGUUGAUAACUUGAUAUGGACCCCCAAAUAAGUUGGUGAUGCGCUGUCACAAUAUCUGUCUUUUUAAUUUCAUACUAGAUUUUGACCCGCGCUUGAGAAGCGCGGGUUUGUUUUCGAAAUUAAAUUGUUUUUGAAAUUAAAUAAUGUUUUAAAAUGAAUUUCUAUAUAAUAUAGUGUAUAGGUUUGACGCGAACCAAACCAUACUAAACUGAAAAAAACGAAAGCAAAAGUGAACUGAAUUUCAUAAAUAACAUAUCAUAUAUCUUUAAAACCGGAAAAUUGAAACCGGACUGUGAAUCAAAUGGACACCUGAAUUUUAAAAAUAAAAUUAUAUACUUACAAUUACUAAUUAUAUUUAAUUUUUAAAUACCCAAAUAUCAUAAAAAUAAUAUUUUAUAUUCCGAAUUAUCUGAAUCACCGAAUUACCUGGAUAUUUUGUAUUAAAAUAAUUAUCUGAAUUAUCAGAUACUUUAUACGAAAAACUCGAAUUACAUGAUAUCUAAACUGAAUACUCAAAUUAUCCUAUAUUUUUAUCAACGAAUCUGUAAUUACCCAAAAAAUCAGAAUAUAACGAAACCGAAUUGGACCCAAUUUUUUUUUUUUUUUUUUUGCAUAUUAGUCGUUCCUAACUUUCCUAUUUUACCGAACCAAAAACAAAAAUAACCCAACUGAAAUCAAAUCAAACUUUGUAAAUACCAGAACGGUUCCUAAAUUUUAGAACCAAAAUACAUCCUGAUGACUAAUAUUGCAUAUAUAUUUAAAUGGUGCGAAGAAAGCAUUCUUAUUUUUACAAAUUAUUUAACUCUUUUUAGUAUGAGUACAUAUCUGGGUUAUAGACCUAUUAAGACAUAAGAAAUAUUCUUAUAUCCAAACCAGAUCCACGGUUGAACUGGUAAAUUCGGUUGUCGUAUAUAAUAUGGGCUGGUUUAUAUUUUUCAUAUAACAUUUUAUCAAAGGUUAUAUCAACUCAUAUGUUUUCACAAAAUUCAGAUUUAAUGAAAACCUAUUAAUUAAGAAUCCGACAAAACCUAUAAACCCGCAUUAACCCGUAAACCGACACCCGGCAGAAUUCAGAAAAAAAAUCUUAUAAUCUAUUCUAUUAAAACAGCAGUAUGACCAGUUGAUAAAGGUUGUGUCCAACUAUUAUUCCUUCUAUUUAAAAGUUUUUUUAUUAUUCUCUUUAUUAUUUAAACACUAACUGCUGUUAAUCUUAUAUAUUUCUACCAAAUAUAGUAACCACCUCCAUUAGUUAGUUCCUAUAUUCUCGGGAGUCGGGACCCAUAACCCCCAAACAUAAAAGAAGGUUCUUUCGUGCUUUAAUUUGUUUUCUGUUUCAAUCAAUCUUGAACGAUCAUCAUAUGAUCAAAGACAAUAUGUUUACAUCGAUUGUUGGGCAAUUGUAUAUUUGUUUGCUUGACCUAAAUGGAUCCAUUAUAAAAAAGAGAGUACAACUGCUACAUUAAUAAAGCCUAACCUAAAAUAAAUAUAAACUCACUUUCAAUGGUAUUUGUUAACUUAAUAAUAAAUAGUUAUAAUUAAUAUUUGUUAUUAUCGUGAUAUACAGUUACCCAACAGCCCAUGAGUAAAAAUCAAUAUAAAAAAAAAUAUAAUUUAAUAAUAUAUAAUUUUCAAAAUUAAAUCAAAUUUUACAUCAAUAAAAUAAAAAUCAAUUAAGCUAAAUAAUAUAUAACGAGAACUGUUUUAUAAGAAGCUUAAAUUAAGUAAUAUCCAUUCUAUUAAAUACAUAUAUAUAUUAAACAGAAUAUACUAAAAUUAUUUUUUCAAAGAUUUUUUAGAAAAUUGUUCUGUUUUCGGUGCGGAUUGGAUUUCAUAUUGGUUUUCGGGUAUAAUACUUUAAGAACUGUUCGAAUAUAUAAGCCAUGUCUAAUAAAGUAUGAAACUUUGAUUUUCGGAUCGAUUCCGAGUCGGGUUUUUUAGGCACAAAUAUUCUUGACUAAUUAUGUUAGGUAACUACUAAAAAAUAUAAUAUGUUGCAAACUUUAGGAAUAAAGUUUAAAAAUAAUUUCUAAAAUACAUAUGACACAAAUGUAUAGUUAUGUAACUUGACAUAUUUAAUAUGGUUACCAAAAAUUAUAUUAAAUUAAAUUAAUAUUAAAUAUAAAUAUGAUUACAAAAAAUAAUACAAAAACAUAUUUAAGAAAAUUCAAACAAAAAAUAUACCCGCCCUUUUAAGGGCGGGUCAGAAUCUAGUAUUCUUUUAAAAUUUGAUUAAACUUUUCAUAUACUUUAUAAUAGUACAUGAAACUAAAUAAAUAUUUUAUUUUUCAUAUAAAGUAAAUAUAUUGUAUUUAUAUUAUGCAUUUUUAGUUAUAGGUCUUUAGUGAUCAAUAACAUUACAAUCUUAACGUAUAUAAUUUAUUUUUUCUAUUUAGAAGCAUACAAUGGGUUUAGUUAUAUUAAUAAAAUUAAAUUUAUGAUUGCUAAAAUAGACGUGAGAAUAAUAUUAAUUUUAUUAAUAGGUCUAAGCGAAUUUAAUAUUAUUGUGCAUGUGUCAUUUAUAAAGGAUAUCUGGAAUGCAUAACAUUAUUCUGCAUGUAUAAUAUUAAUUUUAUUAAUAGGCUUAAGUGUAUUUAAUAUUAUUCUGCGUGUUUCGUUACAAUAUAAUUCUUUAAUUGUAAAUAAUUAAUAACUCUAUAUGCAAUUAUUCAUGAAUUAUAAAAUAAAUCGCUAUUUUCAAUAUCAAUAAAAAGUCAUUUAUUGUUCUUGAUAGAAUGCAAUAAUAUGUUUUUAAUCAAAGAAGUUCAUUAUAUUAUUAAUGUAAUAAAAAUUUAUUUUUAAAUUAAUAAAUCACAUGCAACAUAUUUUAAAAAGGAUUAUGUGUGAUAUACUCAUUUAAAUACCUUGCAAUGCGGGAGUAUAUUGGUGAGGAGGUUACGGGAAGUUGAAAUAUAUUGUUUACAGAUUUUGUUAACAAAGAGUUAAGAAGAAUAUAAAUAUGUGUUAGAAUAGGAAAGGGAUAUGUAUAAGAGAAUAUGUCUAUUACAUUGCAAUAUAUAUGGUUGCAGUAGUGCUUCUAAUCUAUUAAUUUAGGGAUUGGUUUUUAUCUACUACUUGAAGUUGUCAUUUAAGUUUUGACCUCUUUCAUAAAUGUUACUAGAAUAUAUCUCACUACUUUAUAAAUAGAACAUACCUACUUAAACUUAACCAAUAUACAUACAACCGGAUUACUUAAUCUAAACCAAUAUCUAAUAUAUUAAAACCAUCCAAAAUUAAACAAAAACCACAACGACAGGUUAUUGCUCUUAAUAAAGCAAUCCAAUAAAACUAAACCAACAGGUUAUCAUGUUUAGUAUAGAUGUUCGUCUUUCCUUCUCUUCAGAUCACUACCUGACACAUAAAAAAAACUCAAAUUAUUUUCUAUUUUGUCCAUCUUUCAUCAUACUAACCAUUCUAACAAAUAAAAAAUCUGAUUAUGAACACAAAAUUAUCUGCAUAUAAGCUUCAAUCAUAUAUAGAUUAGAUCAUGACUUUUGUUUACGUUACAUAUGUUUUGUUUAUUUGUUUAUUAUAGCCGAAGAUACAAUUCAUACCCGUAUACAAUAUAUAUUCCUUUAUAUAAAAGUAUAUAGAUUAGAUAUUUUGUAAUUUCAAUUCGUUUAAUAUCUAAUAAUUAUCUACAUACAUUCGAUAUCCAGAAUAUUCUAUCCACAUUAAGAUUUGCCAAUAUAGUCUGGAACAAAGCCUUCAGAUACGUGCAGUGUGUGUGUGUGUGUUAUCUCAACGCAGCUGAGCUUAGCUUUUUGUAUCCAAUAUAUUUCAAUCUGCCAAUGUUUGUAACAAGCUCGAUUUAUUAGAUUAGAUAUUAUGAAUAAACAAACACUCAAAGAAAAUUAUGAAACUUAUCUUUUCUGUUGCUCGAUUGACAUGACGAACCACGUAUUUCAUUUCAAAUCGGCCACUGAUUUUGCGUCCGCUACUUUCAACCUGAAUAGUAUCUGUUUCCUUGACUUGAUCUCUCAAAUUACUGUGUGAUCUACAAGGUUUGCAUAUCUAGAUCAACAAACAUAUUAACCAAACCAAUUCUUUACACGAUUUAUAAACUAUAAGAGAUCAGAUUAGCUAUAAGAGUUAGGUUAAAAAUUAUAACUUACUUUUCCUCCGAUCAAAUAGCAAAGAUCAUGCAUGUCUUGAGAAACAAAAUCUUUGUAGAAGAUCAAUUGAAUUUUUUUAUUGUUUCGGUAAACUGGUCGUUUCGGUUCCAACGAAGAAGAGAGAAAGAAACGAUUAACUUGAAUGGUGCAUCUAUUAUUCACACCGACAGAAACAAAAUAUUAAUUGAUCAUCAAAAGUUGUUGACUUUACAAAUUAUUUUGUUUUUUUUUUGGGACAAAAGUUUGUUACUCAUAUGGGUUUAGAUAAUAUCCUUUGUUAAAUUAAAUUUGUCACAAGGCCUGAUCCAUAAACUAUUAAAUAGCCCAAACUUUUGAUCUUAAAAACAUCCAUUAAAAUUUUAUGGGCCAAAUGUGUUUAAUAUUUUUAACAAACUAAUUAUGAUUAGUUAUAAGCAUAACUAAUAAAGUUGUUAAAAUUAUAUAAUAUUUUUUUUUAAAUCGAAUAUUUUAAAUUUAAUAAAUGUAAUUUUAAAGUGAUCCAAAUAAAACUAUUAUACUGAAAAUGAAACAAGAUUCAAUACAAACUAACAACAUGUACAACACAAAUUAUAAAUUAGAUAUAGAUGUCAAAUAUAUAUAUAUAUAUAUAUAUAUAUAUAAAUAUUAUACAAAAAUAUUUAUAAAAAUUAUAAACACAUUA